CCUGUGGCACACAGCAGGCAGGUGGCUUGAUCUCGCUGUUGGUGAUGUAGCUUGGAAGGCUCGUGCCUGUCCAGGCAGCUCUGCCAGGUGUAUUUCCCCUGAGCUCUGACUACCUCUCCCCAUGGGACACACUGUCCCUUCGUGGCUGCCUGUGACCACACCCGAGUUCACUGUCCUGGGUCUCCACACACUUACGGGCCUUUCUGUAGAAGGAGUCUUAAAAAGCAGGUUCUCUGGGGCAAAAGACGUAAAUGUCUAACUCUCCAUAGUUGCUGAUACAUAGCCAGGAAGGCGGCCUGUGCCUGUGGUCCCAGCUGCUCCAGAGGCUGAGUUGGGGAUUGCUUGGCCCAGCAGUCCCAGGCCAGCCUGGGCAGGACAGGGACCCUGUCUCAAAAAACAAACAAAAAACCCAAGGCAGAUGGUUUUCUUGCCUUCCUUCUUUUUUCUUUUUUUUUGUGGAACAGGAGGAGACAUUCAAGCUGGGUGUAAUCCAAGUCAGUGGCUCAGGAGGCUGAGGCAGAAGGAUCGCACUUUGAGGGCAGCCAGAUCAACUUUGGAGACUCUGUUACAAGACAAGACAUAAAAGGGGCUGGGGUGUGGCUCAGUGGUAAAGCAGCCCUGCCUGCAACAGCCUGCACCCCAGUGGGUGCCCAGCACUGUCUGCUAGGCAGGAUUCCACUCCCAGCCAUACCCCAGGACAGACAGGAGACCUGAUCUCAGGACCCUGCACAAGAACCCUCUGCAGUGGGCCAACUCAGCCCUAUGGCAGGCAGCCUGGCUGGCACCACACAGGAUGAAUGAAGGACGGUGGGCAGCAGGGGGCACACCCGUGGAGAGGAAGACUCCCACCUCACACAGAUGGAUGCCAUCUCCUGAUGGGAACACUCAAGUGUCCCUCGUCCCCCCGCCCCACUUCCCACCUCACAGCUCCCUGUGUUCUGCUGUGGUGCAAGGAACUGCAUGGAACAUCCCAGAAAUAAGCAAUGUAUAAGUUUUAAGUGUGUGUGUGUGUGUGUGUGUGUGUGUGGUGCUGGGGAUUGAACCCAGGGGUGCUCUCUUGUUUUUAUUUUGAGACAGGGUCUCUCUAAGUUGCUGAGCCUGGCCUUGAACUUUCUUUCCUCUUGUCUCAGGAGUGUGUCAUCAAACCUGGCUUAAAUAUCUUCUGUGAUGGUAUGUUGUCACAGUUGUUCUUUUUAUCAUUAGUUGUUGCUAAUCUCUCGCUGUGACUAAUUUGCAGCCUGAGGCACCCCUGGGGGCCUGGGACCAUAUUCCCAAGGGUAAGGGAUAUGACUGAACGCAAAGCUUAAGAGCAGACAAACCAACCUGUGCAGAGAAACAGCCACAGUGUCCCUGGGGAGAGACAGACUGGAAGGGUCACAGAAGACACCGAGGCAGGGUCCCAGACUGCCCCCUGGCUGAUGUGGUAUGGUGUGUCUACCAGAACCCAUCACGGGAAGGUGUGUCUGCCACACCAGGUGACGGCCCUUCCAGGCUGGACUGCACUUAUGUCACUCUCUGUGUGUUCUAACAUGGGCCACAGCACAAUGGCACCAGCUCACAGCGUGGCUUUGAAUAUGGGAAGUAACAGUCGGUGUGUCACUCUGGGGGCUGAGAACUGGCUGUUGGCCACUACCUCGCUGAGGACGACUCUGGGACACAGGGGAGUGAUGUGCCCCUGUUCCCUGGCUGCCCCCUGGCGGUUUCCACCAGUCAGGCCCUGGUCUGCUCCUGGGCUCUGCAGAGGGUAUUCCAUUUCUGCUGUUUCCUCCAGUUUUGGACACAUUGCCACCGGGAUGUCGCUACACUUGUCUCCUCUUGGGACAUUCUGUUGUGACUUCGUGUUUUGGUGACUACCUGUGGCUGUAAGUGUCCUCCUAAUUAUCAGUUGGCUCCAUGGCUGAGAGUCAGGAAAGCAGUAGAUUAAUUCUACUAACUUGACCCCAAAUAGUAAGGGUCUCAGUGACCGUGUGGAGACCUCAGGCCAGAUGGCCGGGCUGUUGCCUUGCCAUUGCAUCUCCUCCCCACAGCUGGCCCUGGUACUGCUGCAGCCCUCCACCUCCAGGUGGCAACCCUCCUGCAGGCCACCUGUGUGCGUGUGAGCACCAGGUUUCCUUAGCAGGUGCAGGGGCACACAAGACCAGCUGCACUUCGCCAGAGCUCUUCUUGGUCGGUGCCCUGUCUGGGCUGUACCUCUGCUGGAGAUACUGUCCACCUGUGAUAGGCCUUUCUGGACCCAAGACACUAACUUUGUCCUACACCCCAGCCUUUUAAUUUCAGGCCUCAUGCCACCUUCUAGAAGGAACUUCUUACAAUUUCUGCAGUAGGAACAAGCUCAGACCCCAGCACCUACCCCUGGUGGAGCCCACUAGGACCCUGGAGGCUGCCCAUCUCCUGGCAAUCCUAGGCAGGGCCUCUGGGCCUCCUCCCUCUGGGCAGCUGGGAAGCCGUUUCCUCGGAAACAUUUAUAAGCAGAUGUUGUGAAAAUACCAAUUAUGUGGUUUGGUUGGAUUCAAUCUCUAUCUAAUCGUAGAAACUAAUUAUAGGUUGCCACUACUAAAUAAUUUCAAGGAAAAAAUCAAAUCAUGUUAUUUUCUUGCCAAUAAACCACUCAACUAUAUGUAAUCUUAUCAUUUGAUGUGAAGUACAGGUUUUAUUCAAGAUUAAGUUUUACACACAAUUGAGCCACCUCUCACGAGAUGAGCAGGUCAACAUACCACAGGGCAAUUUCAGUCCAGCAAGUCCAGCACAGACUCCAGCUUACAUGGAAAUGACAUCAUUAUCACUAUUAUUGCUACUAGGGAACUGACUGCUGACCUCAUACAUGCCAGGCAAGCAUUCUACCAUUGAGCAACAUUCCCAGACCUUUUAAAAUUUUUGUUUUGAGACAGUCUCGCUAAGUUACCCAGGCUGGCCUCGAACUUGUGAUCCUCUUGCCUCCUAAGUCACUGGAAUUGCAGGAGAGGGGCCACCAUGCCUGGCUGUUUCAUGACCUUUUGAUGUCUCAAGCUCAGAACCCCCUGAACAGAGCGUGAUGACACCCAAGAAAUGAAGCGUGUGACCCGUGAAGAGGUGCAGUGCCCUCCACACUAGCAGACAAGGGUUCUUGCCAUUCAGUAAGCAAGUAUCCCCUGCUCUUCUGUCUGACAACUCCUCUGAUGUCGUAGAUCUGGAAGCAGAUCUGGGCUUACAGUACCUGCCCUCCUGUGGUUGGCCUCAUAAUAAAGCUCCUUCCUUUUGUAAAACCAGGAGACGUGGUGC
rnacentral:lncRNA from 1 species